UCGAGAAUCUUCGGCAAUGGGCGAAAGCCUGACCGAGCGAUGCCGCGUGCGGGAUGAAGGCCCUCGGGUUGUAAACCGCUGUCAGUUGGGAGGAAGGGUCCGUGAAGAGCGGAUCUUGACCUAUCUUCAGAGGAAGUCCGGGCUAAGUUCGUGCCAGCAGCCGCGGUAACACGAACCGGACGAACGUUAUUCGGAAUUAUUGGGCUUAAAGGGUGCGUAGGCGGCUUAGUAGGUGGGGUGUGAAAUCCCUCGGCUCAACCGAGGAACUGCGCUCCAAACCACUAGGCUAGAGGGAGACAGAGGUAAGCGGAACUGAUGGUGGAGCGGUGAAAUGCGUUGAUAUCAUCAGGAACACCAGUGGCGAAAGCGGCUUACUGGGUCUCUUCUGACGCUGAGGCACGAAAGCUAGGGUAGCGAACGGGAUUAGAUACCCCCGUAGUCC
rnacentral:rRNA from 1 species